rnacentral:rRNA from 1 species
CCUACGGGAGGCAGCAGUGAGGAAUAUUGGACAAUGGGCGCAAGCCUGAUCCAGCCAUGCCGCGUGCAGGAAGACAGCCCUACGGGUUGUAAACUGCUUUUAUACGGGAAGAAUAAGGGGUACGUGUACCCCGAUGACGGUACCGUAAGAAUAAGGACCGGCUAACUCCGUGCCAGCAGCCGCGGUAAUACGGAGGGUCCAAGCGUUAUCCGGAAUCAUUGGGUUUAAAGGGUCCGCAGGCGGGCAAUUAAGUCAGGGGUGAAAUGGUGCGGCUCAACCGUAGCACUGCCUUUGAUACUGGUUGUCUUGAGUUAUGGUGAAGUGGCCGGAAUAUGUAGUGUAGCGGUGAAAUGCAUAGAUAUUACAUAGAACACCGAUUGCGAAGGCAGGUCACUAACCAUGGACUGACGCUGAUGGACGAAAGCGUGGGGAGCGAACG